rnacentral:rRNA from 1 species
UGCCGCGCUGAGUGAUGAAGGCCUUCGGGUUGUAAAGCUCUUUUACCCGGGAUGAUAAUGACGGUACCGGGAGAAUAAGCCCCGGCUAACUCCGUGCCAGCAGCCGCGGUAAUACGAAGGGGGCUAGCGUUGUUCGGAAUUACUGGGCGUAAAGCGCACGUAGGCGGCUUGGUAAGUCAGAGGUGAAAUCCCGGGGCUCAACUCCGGAACUGCCUUUCAUACUGCAUCGCUAGAGUGCUGGAGAGGUGAGUGGAAUUCCGAGUGUAGAGGUGAAAUUCGUAGAUAUUCGGAAGAACACCAGUGGCGAAGGCGACUCACUGGACC